UUUUUUUUAAUAUUUAUUUUUUAGUUUUCGGCGGACACAACAUCUUUGUAUGUGGUGUUGAGAAUCGAACCCAGGCCGCAUGCAUGCCAGGCGAGCGCGCUACCACUUGAGCCACAUCCCCAGCCCAGCACUGGUGAGCUUUAUGAAACAUUUUGGUGAACUGUUGGGAUAAAAUCUGGAUUGGAGUCAGUGUGAGAAUAAAUGAGAGAAGAGGAAUGAAUGAGCUCAGCCAAGACGUUUAGGAUUUUUUCUGCAAAGGAGAGCAGAGAUGAAGUAACAGCAAGAGAGAGAUAUGAGGUCAAGAGAGAAUUUACCCUGCAAUAUCUUACUAUGAAAAUUUAAAAAACAUAUCCAAAAAUUGCAAGAAUUUUACAGUAAACACAUAUAGACCUAUAUAGAAUCUAUGAUUCUGCCAGGCAUGGUGACACACGCCUGUAAUCCCAGCAGCUCAGGAGGCUGAGACAGAAGGAUCGUGAAUUCAAAGCCAGGCUCAGCAAUUUAACCAGGCCCUCAGCAACUCUGUGAGACCCUGAAUCUAAAUAAAAUACAAAAGAGGGCUGGGGAUGUGGCUCUGUGGUUGAGUGCCCCUGAGUUCAAACCCCAGUACCAAAAAAAAAAAAAAAAUCUAUGUUUCCUAUUUUAUUAUACUUGACUUUGUUGUUGUUGAACCUAGAGGCAUUUAACCACUGAGCCACAUCCCCAGCCCUUUUAUAUAUUUUAUUUAGUUGCUUAGGGUCUCAUUAAGUUUAGUUAAGUUGCUUAGGGUCUCACUAAGUUGCUGAGGCUGGCUUUUGAACUUGCAAUCCUCCUGCCUCAGCCUCUCUAGUCACUGGGAUUAAAGGUAGGAGCCACUGCGCUCAGUUUAUACGUGAUUUUUUUAUAUUUAUGCCCAUCUAUCCAUCCCAAUGUAGUUUUUUUCAAUUUUUUUUUAAUUUUUCAUACCAUGGAUUGAAUUUGGGUAGCUUAACUACUAAGCCACAUCUCCAUCCCUUUUUAUAUUUUAUUUUGUGGCAAAGUCUCACUAAAUUGCUGAGGGCCUCACUAAGUUGCUGAGACUGACCUCAAACUUGAGAUCCUCUUGCCUCAGCCUCCAGAGUUGCUGGCAUGACAGGCGUGCGCCACCAUGGUUUUUUAACAUUUUUUUUUUAACAUUGAUAAAUUACAGGACUCUGAAGGUUGCUGGAAAGAAAUGAAUGCCUGGAGGAGACUGAUAAUGCAGGAGAAAGCAGGGAGGGAUUAUUGAAGCAAUGGACUGAGUGGAAAGGAGGGGCUGGGAUCUAGUGCUAUGUGAGGGGUUGGUCUUAACAAAGGAGCAGUCCUAGGAAGCGAGGUGGGGUGUGGGGACGAUGGAGGAGGUAGGUGCAGGCGGAUGUGGGAGCUUGUGGAAGUUCUCUUCUGAUGAAAUCAUCAGCUGAGAGUGAGCACAGGGGAGGAUGAGUGUACAUCGGAAGAGUCAGAAGAAGGGAUGAAAUAAUCUUCUGGGAGAGUGGGAGAGUGAAUGGUCUAAGAAAGGCAGUGAGAUUGCCAAGCUACCCUGGGGGUCUGCCUGAUGUGACUGGGCAGGCAUUUAAAACCAAACAAUGUGGUUGUGCAUUUCCCCCAGGCCUGUUCAGGGGCACGGGUGCAGGUGCAGAGUAGCAGAGUUGGAUUUGAAGAUGUUGGUCUGGGUGAGUGUAGCAGAGGGGCCAGGAAGCUGAGCAUGCAUAUAGAGGAGUGAACCGUAAUGAUCUCUAAUGAUGUAACAUAGAAUUUAAGGCACCCCAAAGAGGGAAGUGAGGGAACAAGUGUAAGAAACAAGGAAGGGUGAUAGGAUCCAUGGGCUGCUGGUCUCAAGGAAGUCAAAGAAUUGCUGGGAGUAUGGAGAUUCCUUAGAAAACUUGGAAUGGAACCACCAUUUCACCCAGGUAUCCCACUCCUCGGUUUAUACCCAAAGGACUUAGUAUACUACAGUGACACAGCCACAUCAAUGUUUAUAACAGCACAAUUCACAGCUAAUUGUGGAACCAACCUAGAUGUCCUUUAAUGGAUGAAUGGAUAAAGAAAAUGUGGUGUACAUACACAAUGGAAUAUUAAUCAGCAUUAAAAUCAUGGCAUUUGCAGGUAAAUGGAUGGAGCUGGAGAAUAUUAUGCUAAGUGAAGUAAGCCAAUCCCAAAAAACCAAAGGCCGAAUAUUUUCUCUGAUAAGUGGAUGCUGAUCCAUAAUGGGGGUUGGGGGGGAGCAUGAGAGGAAUGGAGGAACUUUGAAUAGGGCAAAGGGGAGGGUGGAGAAGGGAGGAGGCAUGAGGGUAGGAAAGAUGGUAGAAUGAGAUGGACAUGAUUACUCUAGGUAAAUGUAUGAAGACACAAAUGGCGAGACUCUACUUUGUGUACAACCAGAGAAGUGAAAAAUUGUGCUCCAUUUGUGUACCAUCAACUGAAAUGCAUUCUGCUGUCAUGUAUAACAAAUUAGAACAAAUUAAUUAAUUAAUUAAUUUAAAAAAGAAGAAUUGCUGGGGUUGGAGUGAGUUGGAUGUAGAGGUGGUGAUUAUGGAUUUUACCAACAAUCUGAACUUUGACAAUCCAAUAUGUGAAAAACAGCACCUUACUGAUUUAAUUGGUAUUUAUUUUAUUAUGAAAGGACCAGCAGCUUGUCUCAUAGGCCAUCAAAAUGUAUAUCUCUGUGAAUAAAAUACAGUAUGAGUGCUGUCCUCUGAAGUUGUACAGCAUGGUAAUCCUGUAAUAUGGGCAAAUGCCAGUCACUAGUUCUGUCUGUGAAUUCUUUAUGACCCAGGCCAGUCCUAUGUUCUGCCUUCCUCCCUCUUUCUGUCUCUCUUCCCAUGAUACACUUAACCGAAAACAUACAUGGGAACUUUAGUACAUAGCAUCUUUGGCACCAUAGUUUCCCAAACCUAGACAUUAUCUAGUGAACAACAAUUAUACUCUUUGGGCCAUUUUCCCCCUAGUGAGGGCUACAUAGGGGCAGACUCUAAAUGAACUGUCUGUCACAGCAUGUCAAGUUUGGGAGCUCUAGAAUUUUGAAAUUAAAUUGCAUUCAAAGCACUUUCCCCAUGCCAGUUUGCACAAAAUCCUUGUUUGCCUCUUGCCUGCUGCAGGUUUAAUUAUGGAUCCUCCUGGAUGGAGGGAUGAAGACGCAGUGUGCUGAGUGAGCUGGGUGGUCAGUCCUGCCUACUGGGCUUGUGCUCUUGUGGUUUAUAAUGUCUUCUCGGGUGAAUAAUAAUAUCCUGUUCAUGCCAGGCCUUUUGGUCUUUGUUGAUGACCUAUGGGGACUGGAAGCCUGAGAUCUUAAAUUCAAGAACAUACCUUUUAAGCCUGGUCAAUCAAUCAGGCCGCACAGUCACAGCCACAGAAAGCACAAGCUGCUGAUGCAGAGAGACCCAAGUACUCAGAGCAGCACGCCACCUGCCAGGAAGCAUAGGGUCAACUUUUGGGGAUGGGGUACAUUCUGCACCUGAUCUCAUGUGAUGGGUUGCAGUAAAAAGGCAGGGGUACUAAUGCUGCAUAAAAUAUUGGUGCCUAAGGGUCUGUGCAUAAGGCGUAUAUGAAACAAAUUAAUUUUGUGUUUUGAUUUGGUUCCUACCCCCAAGAUACCUCAUUAUGUGUAUCUAAAUAUUCCAAAAUCCGAAAGAAUACAAAAUAUUUCUGGCCCCAAGCAUUUAUCAUAAUGGAUACUCACCCUGUACCUACUUUAUAAAGUUGUUAUGGGGAUUUAAUAAAAAUGCUCAGCAAAUAUAGCAAGCAUCAAAUAGACUCAUUUUAUCUUUUUUGCCAUUCCAGGGAUCCAACCCAGGACCUCAUCAGCUAGGCAAGCUAUUUACCACUGAGCCACACCCCUAGCCCUAAAUAGAGGUUUGGCCAAUGUUCUUUCCUCCUAUCAGGGGGGACUUGCCAACAACCUUUCACCUAGUCUCUUCUAUAAAGGGCAGUAUCAUUAACUAUUGCUGUAAAAUCAGCCAUCCCUCAAGACCAGUGGCUGAAGACAAUUGCUCGAGAGUCUUUGGAUCUGCAGAUCCGAGCACAGCUGGCUAAGCUUGCCUUGGCUCCUGUAUCAACAGUCAAGCAGGCAGGUCGAGGAUGGCCACACUCAGGCCUGGCUAAUCAGCCCUAGAUGUGGCACGCCCUCACUUCUGCUGCAUUCUAUUGGUUAAAGCCAGGACAGCCAAGAUUAAAGGGCUGGGGAGAUAGACUCCUCCUUUUAGGUAGGGGGAGAUCAUGUUGUGGAGGGUAAGGAGAUAGGGAGGGUGAGGAUGGCCAGUUUUGAUAUCAAAUGACCCUAGAGCCUGGGUGCCUGGGUGUGGGGAGUUCAGAGUAUACCUGUCAGUUGAGGAAGCAGGAUUGUCUCCCAGCACUGAGGCCAGAUCGAGGUGGAUUCAAAUCACAGCUCCACCACUUACCUGGGAGGCCCUCGGGAGACUUACUCUACCUCCCCAGCUUCGGUUUCCUCACGGGGUCACGGCGAGGACCAAGAAGGUAUUAUAUAGAAGGAGCUGAACACAAGCAGCCAAGCCUGGCACAAGCUGAGGGAAUAGUCAACAAAUGGAGAUUAUAUCAUUCUUAAAUCUCGUGGCACAUCCUGGGCUAUGCAGAACGCUGCCUCUGCUUCCCAAGGUUGAGGAGAAGGGAGACAAGCCAGGAGGAGCUGAUUUCAGACGCAGAACCGUGAAAUGGCCAUGACAGAGUAAGAGCUUAAUUAUAGUUAUUUGGGGAUAGAAGUGAGGAAUGUGAUCUGGUGAGCAGAGGGGAGGGGUUUGGGGGGAGGGAAGGAGGGAGGAAGAGGAAAGAGACAGAGGGAGGGGAAAGCAGAGCACUGGAGACAUCUCCCUGAAUCCUCCCCCAAAGUGCUAUUGACAGUUUUAUUUCAUAUUUUUUUUUGUCCAUAUACAAGAAUAUUCUGUGUUCACUUCAUGGAGUUCAAAAAAUAGAGUGUUUUCCCCACAAUCUUACCAACCAGAUAUGCUACUGGCUGAUAUUUACAUGAGUCUCAGUGUGUGCCAACAUUGUCACAAGUGUUUAUCACUGCUGUCCCUUGGGAAGACCCUGCAAGCAGGCAUUUCUAGUCUCAUUCAUUGCACAGGAGAGAUAAGAAAACAGGCACAGAGGACAUAAGUAACUGUCCAAUAUGUCACAUCCUGUCAAUAGCAGACUCCACAUCACCUGGGGACAGGUGAUGCUUGGUAUAUUUCCUUCCAUAGAAAAGUGUACCACUAGCAGGGUGCAAUGGCACAUGCCUGUAAUCCUAGUGGCUUGGGAGGCUGAGGCAGGAGGAUCAUGAGUUCAAAGCCAGCCUCAGCAAAAGCAAGGUGCUAAGCAACUCAGUGAGAUCCUGUCCUUAAAUAAAAUACAAAAUAGGGGCUGGGGAUGCGGCUCAGUGGUUGAGUGCCCCUGAGUUCAAUCCCUGGUACCAAAAAAAAAA
rnacentral:lncRNA from 1 species